rnacentral:rRNA from 1 species
UACAGAGGGGGCAAGCGUUGUUCGGAAUUACUGGGCGUAAAGGGCGCGUAGGCGGCCUUCUAAGUCGAACGUGAAAUCCCCGGGCUCAACCCGGGAACUGCGUCCGAGACUGGAAGGCUUGAAUCCGGGAGAGGGAUGUGGAAUUCCAGGUGUAGCGGUGAAAUGCGUAGAUAUCUGGAGGAACAUCGGUGGCGAAGGCGGCAUCCUGGACCGGUAUUGACGCUGAGGCGCGAAAGCCAGGGGAGCAAAGCGGGG